GAGAGACAGACACUGGAGUGAAACACUUCGUCACUAAAUGGUGUCCUUCCUCGGGCAGAAGACGACACUGCAUGGUGACUUUUCCUGCAUAAUUGGACUGUCUCUUCGUAUAAACCAAGACGCUUGUUUCUGAAUAUAAGCCCAUGUGCUCUCAACAGGUCAGGAGCGAUAGUAAAAACCUGUUGUCUGGCUUUGUAUUCGGAAUAAUGGAGUCACUAAUCUACUUGAUCUGGCCAAGUCAGAUAAAGAAGAAAGUGAGGGAUGCCCAUGUUUCAGGGAUAGAAGGACACUUUAAUUUCAAUGAGGACAAAACAACACACGGAAACUCCACUCGAGGGAAAGACCUCUUGAGGGAUGGAGGAGUCGCAGGGUAUACUAGGAGGAGCAGAUUCGGCUGGACAGUGUCUGCGCAACUGUGGUGGUUCUGCCCAUAUCCCUUUGGCACUCACCAUUCCUGUGCACACCAAUUUCUUGGCUUCCGACUAUAGGCACUCAUGACUCUUUUUCUUAGGCUUCUGGAGCCUGCCCAGCCCUGAGCCAGUGACUCAUGGAGGAAGUAGAUAAAUCUCUCUGUUCCCUGCCCCCUCAUUGGAUAGAGCCCUGAGAAGUGACCCAUCCCGCAUCCCAUACUAGUCUAGAGCAGAGGUUGGCCCAAGGGCCUUAUCUGGCCUGUUUUUGGAAAUAAAG